GCACUUUAAGCAGUGAAGAAGACUCCAUGGUUAAUACCCAUGGACGAUGACAUUAGCUGCAGAAUAAGCACCGGCUAACUCUGUGCCAGCAGCCGCGGUAAUACAGAGGGGGCAAGCGUUAAUCGGAAUUACUGGGCGUAAAGGGAGCGUAGGUGGCUCGAUAAGUCAGAUGUGAAAUCCCCGGGCUCAACCUGGGAACUGCAUCUGAUACUGUUGAGCUAGAGUAUGUGAGAGGAAGGUAGAAUUCCAGGUGUAGCGGUGAAAUGCGUAGAGAUCUGGAGGAAUACCGAUGGCGAAGGCAGCCUUCUGGCAUAAUACUGACACUGAGGCUCGAAAGCGUGGGCAGCAAACAGGAUUAGAUACCCUGGUAGUCCACGCCGUAAACGAUGUCUACUAGUCGUUGG
rnacentral:rRNA from 1 species